GGUGGGUGACCAGAGAGUCCUGUCUAUCCUAGGAGGAGAACAUUCAGCCCAAAUCCCAGCCCCAUCAUGCACAGAUCAGAGCCAUUUCUGAAAAUGUCGCUGCUGAUUCUGCUUUUCCUGGGAUUGGCAGAAGCCUGUACUCCUCGUGAAGAUGAUGACUUGCAGAAAGGGGACAAGGUCUCAUGAGCAGACUGUCACCGGAUGGCUUGCUGAGCCUCCAAGUACUGCAUGAAGAAACAAGUGGCUGCAAGGAGGAAGGUAAUUAAACCCUUCUCAGGCACCACCCCAUCCAGGAAACCACUCCCCAAGAGGAAGAACACGUGGAACUUCCUGAAAUG
rnacentral:lncRNA from 1 species